rnacentral:lncRNA from 1 species
UAUUAAUGAGAUAUUAGUAUUUUCUAUUAUAAUUAAUUUAUAAAUCUAUAAAUUUGAUUCUAAAAAGAAAUAUUCGGAAAGAUCUUAUCCAUCUUUAAUGACGAAGAUAAGUUUAACUUUUUGAAGAAUGAAUGACAAAAAGAGUAUAAGAAAGCAUGAGAAAGAGGAAAAAGAUCCUGCUAAAAGAUAUUUGUUCAUUAGUGAAAAAGAGAGACCCCUUUUAGUUUUCUUUUAUAUACAUGAGUGCUGGCCCCUAUCUACAAGGAACUCAGAAAGGAUCCAAAUUCAGCUUAGAAGAAUUAUUUCAUUAAAUAAUUUAAAAUGUUUUCUAUAUACAUCAUUCAGAAUGAUAGUUUGUCAAAUUUUUAAUGGUUUAUCAAAUUUCAAUUUGCUGUUUACUAAAGAAAUUAAAUUAACGAUGAUUUGGUAAUUAGAAUGAACAGGAAACAAGUCACAUUCAAAACUCUUCAUUUGAAAGCAUAUGUAAAGUAUGAAAAAAAAUCUCUAACUAGACAAUGAUUAAUUUACAAUUUUACUUAAGAAAUAUGUGAUGUAGAUCAAUUAUUGUCUUACAUAGUUAAAUAUCUCUGUGAGAGAUUGGCCAAGGCAUUGAAGAAUAGGGAUCAGUGGGCCAAGAACAAUAUCCACAAAUGGAUUGAGCAUUGUCCUCAGUGGUUAGUUUGAAUAUUGCAUUCAUAUUUCUUGAAAUAAAUGUUAAUUAAAAAUUACAGACUUUACCAAUACUGACUCGCUAAUCACUUAUUUGUCUUGACAAUGCUGUUAGUUAUUACAAUGAUUACAACAAAUUAGAGCAUAUAUAAAUAAAAAGUCAGUUAUUCAAUAUAUUUAGCAGAUUUGUCUUUCUUCAAAUAACUAUAUCUGUAUAAAACAAAUCAAGGUACAAUAUAAUACUACAAAUAAAACUGCUUCAAAAUGAAUUAAUUUUUAAUUGAUACCAGGGCGCUUUCGGGCAUUAUAACACAUCGUCGGCACAACAGAAUAAA